rnacentral:misc_RNA from 1 species
GAAAUGCGAUAAGUAAUGUGAAUUGCAGAAUUCAGUGAAUCAUCGAAUCUUUGAACGCACCUUGCGCUCCUUGGUAUUCCUUGGAGCAUGCCUGUUUGAGUAUCAUGAAAUCUUCAAAGUAAAUCUUUUGUUAACUCAAUUGGUUUCUACUUUGGUAUUGGAGGUCUUUGCAGCUUCACACCUGCUCCUCUUUGUUCAUUAGUUGGAUCUCAGUGUUAUGCUUGGUUCCACUCGGCGUGAUAAGUUAUCUAUCGCUGAGGACACUGUAAAAGGUGGCCAAGGUAAAUGCAGAUGAACCGCUUCUAAUAGUCCAUUGACUUGAACAAUACUUUUAUGAUCUGAUCUCAAAUCAGGUAGGACUACCCGCUGAACUUAAGC